GGAUGUAGGGCGAGAUGUAGGCAAAUCCGCAUCUCACGUGCCUGAGAUCUGACGCCGAGCCGAUUCAGGUGAAGUGGGUAAUCCUAUGCUGCCAAGAAAAGCCUCUAGCGAGUGUUAAAGCCGCCCGUACCCCAAACCGACACAGGUGGUCAGGUGGAGAAUACUAAGGCGAUCGAGAUAACUAUGGUUAAGGAACUCGGCAAAAUGCCCCCGUAACUUCGGGAGAAGGGGGGCCCGUUCUGGUGAGGAGAUUUACUCUCCGAGCUGGGAUUGGCCGCAGAGACCAGGCCCAAGCGACUGUUUACUAAAAACACAGGUCCAUGCUAAGUCGCAAGACGCUGUAUAUGGACUGACGCCUGCCCGGUGCUGGAACGUUAAGGGGACGGGUUAGCGACUUCGGUCGCGAAGCUCAGAACUUAAGCGCCAGUAGACGGCGGUGGUAACUAUAACCAUCCUAAGGUAGCGAAAUUCCUUGUCGGGUAAGUUCCGACCUGCACGAAUGGCGUAACGACUUGGGCGCUGUCUCAACCGUAGACUCGGCGAAAUUGCACUACGAGUAAAGAUGCUCGUUACGCGCGGCAGGACGAAAAGACCCCGGGACCUUUACUACAGCUUGGUAUUGGUGGUCGAUUCGAUAUGUGUAGGAUAGGUGGGAGACUGUGAACUUCGGACGCCAGUUCGAAGGGAGUCAUCGUUGAAAUACCACUCUGAUCGUAUUGGCUGUCUAACCUAGAUCCGUAAUCCGGAUCAGGGACAGUGCCUGGUGGGUAGUUUAACUGGGGCGGUUGCCUCCUAAAAUGUAACGGAGGCGCUCAAAGGUUCCCUCAGCCUGGUUGGCAAUCAGGUAUCGAGUGUAAGUGCACAAGGGAGCUUGACUGUGAGACUGACGGGUCGAGCAGGGACGAAAGUCGGAACUAGUGAUCCGGCGCUGGCAAGUGGAAGCGGCGUCGCUCAACGGAUAAAAGGUACCCCGGGGAUAACAGGCUGAUCUUGCCCAAGAGUCCAUAUCGACGGCAUGGUUUGGCACCUCGAUGUCGGCUCGUCGCAUCCUGGGGCUGGAGUAGGUCCCAAGGGUUGGGCUGUUCGCCCAUUAAAGCGGCACGCGAGCUGGGUUUAGAACGUCGUGAGACAGUUCGGUCCCUAUCCGCCGCGCGCGUAAGAGUCUUGAGAAGAUCUGUCCCUAGUACGAGAGGACCGGGAUGGACGAACCUCUGGUGUGUCAGUUGUCCUGCCAAGGGCACUGCUGAUUAGCUACGUUCGGAAGAGAUAACCGCUGAAAGCAUCUAAGCGGGAAACUCGCUUCAAGAUGAGGGCUCUCACAGGGUUAACCUGGUAAGGCCCCCAGUAGACCACUGGGUUGAUAGGCCGGAAGUGGAAGUGCGGUAACGCAUGCAGCUGACCGGUACUAAUAGGCCGAGGACUUGACC
rnacentral:rRNA from 1 species